GUGACUGCGUACCUUUUGUAUAAUGGGUCAGCGACUUAUAUUCUGUAGCAAGGUUAACCGUAUAGGGGAGCCGUAGGGAAACCGAGUCUUAACUGGGCGAAUAAGUUGCAGGGUAUAGACCCGAAACCCGGUGAUCUAGCCAUGGGCAGGUUGAAGGUUGGGUAACACUAACUGGAGGACCGAACCGACUAAUGUUGAAAAAUUAGCGGAUGACUUGUGGCUGGGGGUGAAAGGCCAAUCAAACCGGGAGAUAGCUGGUUCUCCCCGAAAGCUAUUUAGGUAGCGCCUCGUGAACUCAUCUUCGGGGGUAGAGCACUGUUUCGACUAGGGGGUCAUCCCGACUUACCAACUCGAUGCAAACUACGAAUACCGAAGAAUGUUAUCACGGGAGACACACGGCGGGUGCUAACGUUCGUCGUGAAGAGGGAAACAACCCAGACCGCCAGCUAAGGUCCCAAAGUCAUAGUUAAGUGGGAAACGAAGUGGGAAGGCUCAGACAGCCAGGAUGUUGGCUUAGAAGCAGCCAUCAUUUAAAGAAAGCGUAAUAGCUCACUGGUCGAGUCGGCCUGCGCGGAAGAUGUAACGGGGCUAAACUAUGCACCGAAGCUGCGGCAGCGAUAUGUAAAUAUUGUUGGGUAGGGGAGCGUUCUGUAAGCCUGUGAAGGUGUACUGUGAGGUAUGCUGGAGGUAUCAGAAGUGCGAAUGCUGACAUAAGUAACGAUAAUGCGGGUGAAAAACCCGCACGCCGGAAGACCAAGGGUUCCUGUCCAACGUUAAUCGGGGCAGGGUGAGUCGACCCCUAAGGCGAGGCAGAAAUGCGUAGUCGAUGGGAAACGGGUUAAUAUUCCCGUACUGGUGAUAAUUGCGAUGGGGGGACGGAGAAGGCUAGGCUAUCCGGGCGACGGUUGUCCCGGUUUAAGGAUGUAGGCAGGUGAAUUAGGCAAAUCCGGUUCACUAUAUGCUGAGGUCCGACGACGAGUCACUACGGUGAUGAAGUAGCUCAUGCCCCGCUUCCAGGAAAAGCCUCUAAGCUCUAGAUUAUCAUUAAUCGUACCCCAAACCGACACAGGUGGUCAGGUAGAGAAUACUCAGGCGCUUGAGAGAACUCGGGUGAAGGAACUAGGCAAAAUGGUGCCGUAACUUCGGGAGAAGGCACGCUGGCGCUAGGUGAAGUCCCUCGCGGAUGGAGCUGAAGCCAGUCGCAGAUACCAGCUGGCUGCAACUGUUUAUUAAAAACACAGCACUGUGCAAACACGAAAGUGGACGUAUACGGUGUGACGCCUGCCCGGUGCUGGAAGGUUAAUUGAUGG
rnacentral:rRNA from 1 species